rnacentral:lncRNA from 1 species
ACCUUUAAAAAAAUAUAGAUUCUGUACGUUUAAUCUUGUCACGGGGUUCAUGCUGUUCCUAGGUGAUAAGUAUAUAAGUAUUUUGAAAUUGGCUAACUUUGUUUUUUUUUUUUGGGUAGUUUUCGUGUACAUAAUCAGAUUACAAAAGUGUUUGUCCAAAAAAAAAAAAAAAAAAAAAAAAAAAGAUUACAAAAGUGUUUACGUACGUGUAUUAUAUAAGAUUAUAUUUUAAAGGUUUUCUAGCUCUAUUAUUGAUAUUUUUGUCAUACACAAAAACUACCCAAAAAAUAAAAAGUUUCCACCUUUUAUGGUUAAUAUC